GGCUAGUCCGGAUGUAGGGAGUCAGCUCGAUUGUUCACAGAUUGGACUUUCUGUUCUAUUUGUUCCCCCUCUCACUACUGCCCUUGACUAAUCAUAC
rnacentral:Y_RNA from 1 species